GGGGUUCGAAGCGGCGAGGUCUUUGGGCACCUCCCAUCCGUGUCUAUUGUACCCUGUUGCUUCGGCGGGCCCGCCGCUUGUCGGCCGCCGGGGGGGCGCCUCUGCCCCCCGGGCCCGUGCCCGCCGGAGACCCCAACACGAACACUGUCUGAAAGCGUGCAGUCUGAGUUGAUUGAAUGCAAUCAGUUAAAACUUUCAACAAUGGAUCUCUUGGUUCCGGCAUCGAUGAAGAACGCAGCGAAAUGCGAUAACUAAUGUGAAUUGCAGAAUUCAGUGAAUCAUCGAGUCUUUGAACGCACAUUGCGCCCCCUGGUAUUCCGGGGGGCAUGCCUGUCCGAGCGUCAUUGCUGCCCUCAAGCCCGGCUUGUGUGUUGGGUCGCCGUCCCCCUCUCCGGGGGGACGGGCCCGAAAGGCAGCGGCGGCACCGCGUCCGAUCCUCGAGCGUAUGGGGCUUUGUCACAUGCUCUGUAGGAUUGGCCGGCGCCUGCCGACGUUUUCCAACCAUUCUUUCCAGGUUGACCUCGGAUCAGGUAGGGAUACCCGCUGAACUUAAGCAUAUCAAUAAGCGGAGGAA
rnacentral:rRNA from 1 species